GUGCUCACUGCAGCAGCAGAUAUGCUAAAACUGGAACAAUACAGGGAAGAUUAGCAUGGCUCUUGUGCAAGGAUGACUUGCAUAUUCAUGAAGCAUUUCAUAUUAAA
ensembl:snRNA U6 U6 spliceosomal RNA